rnacentral:rRNA from 1 species
CCUACGGGAGGCUGCAGUGGGGAAUAUUGCACAAUGGGGGAAACCCUGAUGCAGCGACGCCGCGUGAGUGAAGAAGUAUUUCGGUAUGUAAAGCUCUAUCAGCAGGGAAGAAGAAAGACGGUACCUGACUAAGAAGCCCCGGCUAACUACGUGCCAGCAGCCGCGGUAAUACGUAGGGGGCAAGCGUUAUCCGGAUUUACUGGGGGGAAAGGGAGCGUAGACGGCUGGGCAAGGUUGAAGUGAAAGCCCAGGGCUCAACCCUGGGACUGCUUUGGAAACUGUGGAGCUAGAGUGCUGGAGAGGUAAGUGGAAUUCCUAGUGUAGCGGUGAAAUGCGUAGAUAUUAGGAGGAACACCAGUGGCGAAGGCGGCUUACUGGACAGUAACUGACGUUGAGGCUCGAAAGCGUGGGGAGCAAACAGGAUUAGAUACCCUUGUAGUC